GGAGAGUUUGUCACUCAGUGGUAGAGCUCUGUUUGGCAUGCAGAAGGUCCACAGGUCCAAUUCCUGGCAUCUCCA
rnacentral:tRNA from 1 species